UAAAUAGAUGUAAUAUCUCUGUAACACAGACAAAUACAUAAUCAUUUCCUUCAUUACUUGUAUUCUUUCUAACAUGCUAUUAGAGCCGUAAAGUAUUUCUAGUUUCUGAGGUCUCUCUUCUCUCUCUACAACUUGUUCUGAUUCAUUCUUUCAUCCCUGUUAUUAUACCAUUAAUUUGGCACUCAAUCUUAUUUCUGUUGGUCAGUUGUGUGAGGAAGGUGGCUGCCUCAUUAUUAUCUUUUUAUUUUUUAUUUUUUCUAAAUAUGCCAGUCUAGUUGCUACUUAUAUGACUCAUCAUUUUCUAAACUGUCCAAGUUAGCGGAACACUAUUAUAAAUAACAUCUAAGUUGCUUCUCGUCCUACAUGGUAAAAAACACCUCCCUACAGUAAGUAUUUUGUAAGUUACUCCCUUUAUGUGUUUAUUUUUUUUCACACCCCAUGGAUAUUAGAAAUAAAGUUUUACUAAAAAUGACCAUUAUAAAAGAUGUUUUUGGUGAAAUUUAAAUUGAAUAUUCUAAAUUAAAUUUCACUUUCUAAAAAAUCUUCAAAACUGUCCAAAUUGGACUAGGAGAAACUAAUUAACCAAUAUUAACGGUUCGAUUCAGGAAUAGCUAAACAGUUUGGUUAACUGAACCGUGAUAACCUGUAUCUAAAUUUGACUAUGUAUUUUGACCUUUUUUUGUUAUCAAUUGUAUCAUUUAAAUUUUAUUUUUUCAAUUAAUAGGCAUGAUUUGCAAGGUCAUCAAUGAAUAAUAGAACAACUUAAGGUUCAAUACAAAUUAAAAUUUUAAGAGGCAAGUCUAUAAUUAAUGCAGUCAUUCUUAUUACUACCGUCCAAGAAGAUCGUAUUGUGUGUUCUCCUUACUUGGUUCUUGAUCUUUCAACACUUCAAAACUCGACGUUGAGUUUUCUCUAACCAAAGGAUAAUAAUCCAGUAUGGGAAAAUAAAAUUCAUGAAUUAUUCUCACUGUAAAAUUAGAAAAUUUAAAAGUUUUAUCAUUUAAGAAUUUUUAUCUUAUUAGGUCUCUUAUUUAGAAAUUUUAUUAUUUUCUAAUUUAUUUUAGUUUAAUUUAAUACUUCUAAUUAGGAUUGAAUUAGGAUUCUAAAAUCCUAACAUAAUUGGGAUUCCUAAUUCUAUAAAUUAGACAUAGGAUUUAUAUUAUUAUUGGACACGUUUUGUUAUGACAAUUUUAUGAG
rnacentral:misc_RNA from 1 species